UAAGGAAUAUUGGUCAAUGGAGGCAACUCUGAACCAGCCAUGCCGCGUGAAGGAUUAAGGCCCUCUGGGUUGUAAACUUCUUUUAUAUGGGAAGAAAUGUACUUUUUCCAAAGUGCUUGACGGUACCAUAGGAAUAAGCCCCGGCUAACUUCGUGCCAGCAGCCGCGGUAAUACGAAGGGGGCUAGCGUUGCUCGGAAUUACUGGGCGUAAAGCGCACGUAGGCGGACUCUUAAGUCGGUGGUGAAAUCCUGGAGCUCAACUCCAGGACUGCCUUCGAUACUGGGAGUGUUGAGUUCGGGAGAGGUGAGUGGAACUGCUAGUGUAGAGGUGAAAUUCGUAGAUAUUCGCAAGAACACCAGUGGCGAAGGCGGCUCACUGGCCCGAUGCUGACGCUGAGGUGCGAAAGCGUGGGGAGCA
rnacentral:rRNA from 1 species